rnacentral:rRNA from 1 species
CAGGACGAACGCUGGCGGCGUGCCUAACACAUGCAAGUCGAACGAGGUCCAAGGAAGCUUGCUUCCUGAAGACCUAGUGGCGAACGGGUGAGUAACGCGUGAGAAACCUGCCUCGGAGUGGGGAAUAACUCGGGGAAACUCGAGCUAAUACCGCAUACCUUCACAUGAUCGCAUGGUCGAGUGAAGAAAGAAUUUCGCUCUGAGAGGGUCUCGCGGCCUAUCAGCUUGUUGGUGGGUAACGGCCUACCAAGGCAACGACGGGUAGCUGGUUUGAGAGAACGAUCAGCCACACUGGGACUGAGACACGGCCCAGACUCCUACGGGAGGCAGCAGUGGGGAAUCUUGCGCAAUGGGCGAAAGCCUGACGCAGCAACGCCGCGUGCGGGAUGACGGCCUUCGUGGUUGUAAACCGCUUUCAGCAGGGACGAAAAUGACGGUACCUGCAGAAGAAGCCCCGGCUAACUACGUG